rnacentral:ncRNA from 1 species
GAUGGAAGGCCCUCCGGAAUCACCUUGCAGGAGGAGGCUUUAAACCGCCUUAAGUGGCUCUUGUCAAAAGCCUGGGUCGUGAGCGUUAAGGAAAAGGUGGGACAUGGGAAUCUUGGACAUGU